UCAGCACAUAUCAGUAAUGCUGCAGAUUCCUGCUUGUGUUGUGAGAAAGUCAGCCUUGGAGAGUUGGGUAUUAA
rfam:Mesocricetus auratus contig095337, whole genome shotgun sequence.